UCAACACCUCCAUCUGCUCCUUCUGCUUCUCGCGCUUCUUGAUCAGAUGCAUGGCCCGGCCGGCCUCCCGCAUGGUGCCCUUGUACUGCGCCAUGCCUGCAGCUCAGCACAGCCCCUACGGUCUGUCCAGUCCCUGUCCCUGGUAGCCUUCAGGGUCUGAUGUCAGAUUCUACAGCUAGGAACAAACAAACAAAACCGUUGAGAAUCAACGGGCACAGCAGUGUAGUUAAUGAUCUACACCAGCGCCUUCCGAUAGAACUUCUUUUGGUUGAAUGAUUCUGUCUCCGAGGUGAUCCAGUGUGGUAACUACCGACCACAUAAGGCCCUUGAGUACAUGAAAUACAACUGCUAUUACCAAGGGAUUAGUGUUACUUCAAAUUGAGGUAGCCUUGUGUGACUACUGUACAGGAUGGGUUUUGAGGCGCUGCAUUGAAGGUUGAUCUACAGAGCAGCUGCCCAAGCAUGGCCUUGCAAGAGCAGAGCACAAGAAAGCCUGGGCCUGGGCUGGUGAGAACCGGCCAUAGGAAAACGGCGGUCAAGAGAAGAGCUGUCUCCUGAUGAGGAAGGUUGUCCAUGAAGGAUAACACCUGUCCUUUUUGAACCCCUCCUCCUGCAGGACAGAAGCAAGGAAAGGAAAUGAGUUCUUGGGAGCUUUCCCUACAUGUACCUACCUGGAAAAUGAUGCUAGCUUAAGGUCCCAUUAAUGUUCUAGUCAUGGACCGUCCCAACAUCCCUACCACAGUCUUCGGAAUGAUUUCUGCAUGGAAUGUUAGUUGGACUCACCCUGUGUGGGUGCUAAAGUACACAGAAGCCCUGAAGACGGAACUCUCCCUCCCUUGCAGUGAGAAAGAAGACAUCAGAGGAAGUGCACGCAGCAGAGGCAGGCUAUUUCCCUUUGGAGUCUGAGGUUCCCUGUAAGAAGACCAGAUCCAGCAGCUACGUCCUACACUGCAAUCACAGCCUUGACAAACAGCCAAGUACCCCAGACAUGAGCAAGCCUCUGAUAGUUGUUAAGGCAUUAUUUUGGGAGGAGCAGUUGUAUUUUUUGUUAUGGGUGAUGAGACAUGUAAUUGAAACUAAGCGCUCUAAGGGUGGGGCACCUGGGAGGGCAAUCCUAGUGUGGUGGUUCUUCUCCAUGUGGCAUGGAGUGGUGUGCCUCUGCUGUAGCAGCAUUUGCAGUGUCUCUUGCCACACCAAAUCCGGUAGAUUCUGUGUGACAAGUUCCACAGACUGAGGUGAUAACUUCAAAAGAAGGAGGUCCUCUGGAAACGGUUGUGGAACUCUCGGCCGGAGAAAAGUAUUGAGCUGUAGUUCUCAUGGCAAUCUCUGUUCUAUUCUUUUCUGAUAUUAACGAAAUGUUCCUGAAAGCUUAUGCUGACAUUUUAAACAAAAGAAAUAAAUGAGAAACCGUCCCCUGAGAUAUGGUCACUGACCAUGACCUCGUCUCCAGGAAAACCAGUGCUUUUUAAAUCAUUCACGCCAUUCAUAUAAGUAAAUAGUAAUAGUAUUAAUAAAAAUUUCCCAACAAUAAAAUUUCAUAUAGCUGUGCAUGUGUGAUCAAGAAUGGUUUUAAUGUUUGGUAAAGAAACCUUUUUGAUAAGAAAAAAAGUUAAAAUUGCUCCAUUUCAAAGACUCACAGGAACUAGGCAACAGAGUCAAACAAUUGUGACUAGGUAACAGAUGUCAAACAAUAACUAACCACAAAAAUGUAUUAACCUGAUCUUAGAAAUAGGUGGUUAGCUACGGUUAGCCUUGAAUGAUUUUUUAAUUUAUCAUUUUAUUAGCCUUGGAAAAGUUGUGUGUUACAAUGCCUAGUAACGAUGAUGUCAUUUGUCUGCUUUACUGAACACAGACUCUGAGAUGGUAUGCUUUAUUCUGGAUAAAAAGCCUUGCUAAAAAGCUACAAAAUACAUUCAGAUUCAAAUUG